UAGGAAUCUGCCUGGUAGUGGGGGAUAACGUUCGGAAACGGACGCUAAUACCGCAUACGUCCUACGGGAGAAAGCAGGGGACCUUCGGGCCUUGCGCUAUCAGAUGAGCCUAGGUCGGAUUAGCUAGUUGGUGGGGUAAUGGCUCACCAAGGCGACGAUCCGUAACUGGUCUGAGAGGAUGAUCAGUCACACUGGAACUGAGACACGGUCCAGACUCCUACGGGAGGCAGCAGUGGGGAAUAUUGGACAAUGGGCGAAAGCCU
rnacentral:rRNA from 1 species